AGGGUGUAAACGCUGCAGACUUGGUGUUGGAGGCCCUUUGGGGGCAUUCAGUGCCGGAGAGAAGUUGCUAAGUCUGCUACUUGGGGAGUACGUCCGCAAGGAUGAAACUUAAAGGAAUUGGCGGGGAGCACCGCAACGGGAGGAGCGUGCGGUUUAAUUGGAUUCAACACCGUAAACUCACCAGGGAAGACUGUUACAUGAAGGCCGAGAUGAAGACUCUGCUAGAUUUCAGAGAGGUGGUGCAUGGCGUCAGU
rnacentral:rRNA from 1 species